CGAACGGGUAGUGCAAACGAUUAGCGCAUCCUAACGUCUCCCAUUUAAAGCAAAGAAGCAAUUUCUUGAUUGUGUUGCCCGAGGAAUCAGGGAUUUUAGGUUUUCCUGAGAAAAAGGCAACAUGGACAAGCGAAUCUUUCUUUUGCUUAUUGUGCUGGUCGCCUUCUCUGUUGAAGCAAAAAA